ACGCGUGGAACCUUACCAAGGCUUGACAUACACCGGAAACUUCCAGAGAUGGUUGCCCCGCAAGGUCGGUGUACAGGUGGUGCAUGGUUGUCGUCAGCUCGUGUCGUGAGAUGUUGGGUUAAGUCCCGCAACGAGCGCAACCCUCGUCCUAUGUUGCCAGCGGGGUUAUGCCGGGGACUCAUAGGAGACUGCCGGGGUCAACUCGGAGGAAGGUGGGGAUGACGUCAAAUCAUCAUGCCCCUUAUGUCUU
rnacentral:rRNA from 1 species